ACGGGUGAGUAAUGCUUAGGAAUCUGCCUAUUAGUGGGGGACAACAUCUCGAAAGGGAUGCUAAUACCGCAUACGUCCUACGGGAGAAAGCAGGGGACCUUCGGGCCUUGCGCUAAUAGAUGAGCCUAAGUCGGAUUAGCUAGUUGGUGGGGUAAAGGCCUACCAAGGCGACGAUCUGUAGCGGGUCUGAGAGGAUGAUCCGCCACACUGGGACUGAGACACGGCCCAGACUCCUACGGGAGGCAGCAGUGGGGAAUAUUGGACAAUGGGGGGAACCCUGAUCCAGCCAUGCCGCGUGUGUGAAGAAGGCCUUUUGGUUGUAAAGCACUUUAAGCGAGGAGGAGGCUACCGAGAUUAAUACUCUUGGAUAGUGGACGUUACUCGCAGAAUAAGCACCGGCUAACUCUGUGCCAGCAGCCGCGGUAAUACAGAGGGUGCAAGCGUUAAUCGGAUUUACUGGGCGUAAAGCGCGCGUAGGUGGCCAAUUAAGUCAAAUGUGAAAUCCCCGAGCUUAACUUGGGAAUUGCAUUCGAUACUGGUUGGCUAGAGUAUGGAGAGGAUGGUAGAAUUCCAGGUGUAGCGGUGA
rnacentral:rRNA from 1 species